rnacentral:lncRNA from 1 species
CAGCUUGGCGUCCCUUUCGAGCUUCUAGAACAGUGUCCUUUGUCCCUGGUUGUUCGCGUUGUUGAUCAGCUUCUCUCUUCUUCCCAGCGUUACUUGGCCGGUGGAGCGGCGGGGGACGACUCCGUUUGAUGUUCUAAGGUUUUACUUCAGCAAGGUUCUCUGCUUUGGGCCUUAUCUUAGUCUGGGCCUUGUUGUUAGUUUGGACCCUUUCUUUUUAUCCAUGGCCUGUCUUCUAUAUAAAAUCUGUUGAAGUUUUUGGGCUGGGCCUUAGGCCUUUUGUUGAAUCAAUGAAUUUGAUUUUUGACGAAAAGAAAAACUAUUUUUUUAGAUAGAAAAUGGGAGAAGCUUAAAUAAAGUUAAUUAAUUUAUGAAAUGAACGUGUUCUGUGCAAGCCCAAAAAUUAUAUUGCAUAGAUUUAGGAAAAAAAAUGAAACCUGGGAAAUUGCAAAUUCCAAUGCUUUUUUAAUUUACCUCGUUCACUUUUCUGUAGCUUUAUUUGAUUUGCAUGGGAAUGGGAGAAUGAGCAUGCAUUUUAGCUUUCAUACUGAGAGACUAAAAGCUGAGUUGUUCUGUAGCUUUAUUUGUUUUGAUUCUUACCAUGGUUUUGACAGAAUUUCGAAACAUUGAUAGUCUCUGCUUGAUCAAAAUCUCUCAGAAGUAUUUAAGGUUCUCCCCUCCCAGAUCUCAGUGGAAUCUUCAUCUAUCUUAGAUUUUGCAUUAUUACAAUUGAAAUUUAUGAACUUUUUGCCUGUUGUGUUUUUGAGUUUGACUUCAUUCUUUUAUCAACUAUCUUUUCCAGUUCCACUUGCUGCCAUUACUUCUUUACUAGGACUUGUGUCUCUCAACAGUGAAGAUGUUAUCCAGAGUGAUUUGAGCUUCCAGAAGUUGUAAGUCGAUCUGUUUUUCUGAUCUUAUAAAAAUUUGGGUUUUCUUCAUUAAGCUAGGAGCAACAGGCCUUGUCGUUCAGCUUGUUACAGUCUGCUGCUGUAGUUACGUGGUGAAUGUGAAGUUACUCUGACUGGGGUGGGGUGUUCACAAAAGCAAGUAGUUAUUUUACAUUUUGAGUUACACAUCCAGCACAAUAUGUUGGGUCUACUAUUUGGUGUGCCUGAUAAUUAUACAGGGACCUUACAGGAGAAAAGUUUCACUCCAACGUACGAGUUUUGUAUUUCCAUUGCACCUAUUCAUGGAUGGAGGGAAUACUCUGUUCAUUUCUGAAGAAAUUGCCAGGAUCAAUUUUGCUUUUCACUUGGACCAACCUCUUG